rnacentral:lncRNA from 1 species
CCGAACUUGGCGCGAAGUUGGGGGCUCCCGGGUUCCGGACCCAGGGCGCUGCCACGGGGCCCUGCGUCCGCGCGGGGAGGGCCGGGCGCGCGGGGCGGGCGGCGGGGGCGGCGGGGGCGGCCCGCACUGCUGGGAGCCGAGCCCUGCGAGCCCUGCGAGCCCUGCGAGCCCUGCGCGCGAGCCCAACCUCUCGCCAGCCGCGCGGGGCCGGCCACUGAGCAUGCCCAGUGAGCGAGCCGGGCUCGCUGCGGAAUGAUUAAACUUCCCCCGGGUUCAUUAGGCUCCCAGAAGGAAGUCGGGACGCGAGCCGGAGUCGUUGACGUCGGCGCUCUGCAAGCCCGUGACCUCGGGGAGGAGGAGGCGAGGGCCCGCGGGGUGGGGGUGGGGGCGGGGGCGGGGGCGGUGGACGGGGCUCCCCGAACCUGCCUCCGAGCGGGGCAGCUCUCCGAGGUCAGCCUUGGACGCCUUUGACCCGUGUCACUGCGGAGGGGACAGCCGCCACCGCGGCUCAGCCCGGGAACCCUGCGGGCCAGGCUACGUGGAGCCAGUGCAGGAUCUUCAAGCAUCAAUUACUCGGACUCCAAAGCACGUGAACCGCAGAUUUCCGGGAUGGUGUGUCUGCAGAGCUGUGUUCAGAGAAGCUGGUGAUGGAUGGGUCCAUUUGGACUCCCGGAAAGGGCCAGACGUUAAUACCUACUGGGUGGCUGCUAUGUGCAAAAUACCAUGUUCGGCCCGUUGGUCACAAUGAGGAGCAGAAUGGCACACCACCCCUGGCCAGCUCAGAAAUUGUGGUAACAGGAAAGAGUAUGUAUUUUUCACUGCAACUUAACUAACUGGGAUUCUGAUGUAUGCAUCAUUUUCAGAUGAUUUGGUUAAUGUGAGUCUCCAAGAGAUUGAUUAUCCAGAAUAGAUGGACCGAAUUGAGUUUUGACUCAGCUGAGAGCCAAGCCACCGGCCCUGGAGACCCAUGGAAGACACUCUCACCCUAGGCAUUGCCUCUGGGUGCUCAGGGGGCCUCUCUGAGAACUCUAGCCCAUUCUUAUUACUUUCAGCAGGAGAGUGCAGUUCUUACACCAAGUCAUAAUACCACCCUCAUUGAAAAGUAUGAAAAAAUAAAUGUUGACUUUUGCCUUUGCUUUUAAUGGCAGUGUCUGUUGACCUGCCCCUGGUAGUCCUCAUGAUAUACAUGGGCAACUCUGCAAAGGUAAAACAGCAGGGAAAGGGGGCUGGAAACGGAGAUGAUUAAAACGGAUUUUUUAAACCACAAAAGUUGGCAUUAAAAGGCAGUGGAUAUAAUCUAACAGCUAAAGAAAGUAUAAUUAAAACAAUGAUUUCAUAACAUCAAUCAUGCUCUUUUUAUCUCAAAUUUCAAGAACUCGUCCUAUAAUAUUUUUAUUAUUUUAUAUUCUGAAAUUACCCAAAGCUCUGAUGUAAAUCUAACCGUGUGAUUAUAAAUUUCCUGAAAAGUCAUGAAGUACUUCACAAAUUAUUCAUUUACUCAAGAUUAAGUGUUAGACUGGCUAUUAUAUUCCCUAAUAAAUCCUAUUAUCGAUUAUUUGUGCAAAUGAUUUACACAUUUAACUACAGUUUUAGCUUGCUGCUUAUUAAGUCUUAAACCCUCAAAAGAUGAGAUUAAAAAAUUGCCUGGGAUAAUAUAUUUUACAUGAAUUAAAUGAUUCAAAACCGACAGCAAAAGAAGCAAAUCCAAUUGCAUCUACUUAGAAUUGCUAAAUAACUUUCAUUAAUGUGUUUUAAAAUUGUCCUCUAUUUUUAUUUUGCAACUUUUACCCAGCACUUUGGGACUGUUUGUUUUCUUCAUUUACUCUGACCUUCUAGCAGGAAUGAGACGAAGAUAGCACAACAUAUCCUGACACACUAACGUAGAAAGCUCACAUCGGACUUUGCUAACGCAUGCAAAACAUGUCCCCAAGGUUCUGAUUCUCUCUUCCUUUUUUUUUUUUUUUUCCCUAUGGCUCAACUCAGGAAGUGAUCAAUAGAUUGUCUCCUUUUGAAGGCCACCACUCUAUAGUUGAAAAAAGACUUCAACCAGGAAUAGAUAUUUAUUUUCUUGUGCCUAAGGAAUACAUGCUCAUUAAUAGAAAAAAAAAGGUUUAAUUUUAGCAUUGUGAUUCAUUACGAUGAUAAUAGUGAUGAUACUACUGCUAAAAAGUUAACUAUGUCAAUUAACUAAUCAGCAUGAAUAUAUAAAAUAGUUCUGCUGAAAAACCAGCCAUGUGAACUAACUAAUCAGGGUGUGUAUAUGCAUAUAUUAAAUUCUUGGCCAUGUUAUAAUACCACCCUGUUAGGGAGCACGGAAAGUCAUUGCCUAUAGUAGACUCAUUAAGGUCACAAAAAAAUAUUUGCAAAGGAAAUAGGCAAGUGCAUUUUCAAAAGAGCUAAAAUGUAAGUGCUCGCUACAUGUCAGGCACUCUGUCAAGUGCUUUGUGUGCUAACUCAUUUAAUCUUCAUGAUCGUCUUGGAAAACAGAUAUUAUGACUUCCCCCAUUUUAGAGAUGAAGAAGGUGGGAGUCGCAG